GAUGAACGCUGGCGGCGUGCCUAAUACAUGCAAGUCGAGCGAGCAGACGAGGAGCUUGCUCCUCUGACGUUAGCGGCGGACGGGUGAGUAACACGUGGAUAACCUACCUAUAAGACUGGGAUAACUUCGGGAAACCGGAGCUAAUACCGGAUAAUAUGUUGAACCGCAUGGUUCAAUAGUGAAAGACGGUUUUGCUGUCACUUAUAGAUGGAUCCGCGCCGCAUUAGCUAGUUGGUAAGGUAACGGCUUACCAAGGCAACGAUGCGUAGCCGACCUGAGAGGGUGAUCGGCCACACUGGAACUGAGACACGGUCCAGACUCCUACGGGAGGCAGCAGUAGGGAAUCUUCCGCAAUGGGCGAAAGCCUGACGGAGCAACGCCGCGUGAGUGAAGAAGGUCUUCGGAUCGUAAAACUCUGUUAUUAGGGAAGAACAAAUGUGUAAGUAACUAUGCACGUCUUGACGGUACCUAAUCAGAAAGCCACGGCUAACUACGUG
rnacentral:rRNA from 1 species